rnacentral:rRNA from 1 species
UACGUAGGUGACAAGCGUUGUCCGGAUUUACUGGGCGUAAAGAGCGCGCAGGCGGUCGAUCAAGUCGAGUGUGAAAGCCCCCGGCUCAACUGGGGAGGGUCAUUCGAUACUGAUCGACUCGAAGGCAGGAGAGGGUAGUGGAAUUCCCGGUGUAGUGGUGAAAUACGUAGAUAUCUGGAGGAACACCGGUGGCGAAGGCGGCUGCCUGGCCCAACAUUGACGCUGAGACCCGAAAGCAUGGGGAUCAAACAGG